rnacentral:rRNA from 1 species
UACGGGGGGGGCAAGCGUUGUUCGGAAUUACUGGGCGUAAAGGGCUCGUAGGCGGCCAACUAAGUCGGAUGUGAAAUCCCCAGGCUUAACCUGGGAAUUGCAGUCGAUACUACUCAGCUAGAGUAUGGGAGAGGGCAGUGGAAUUCCCGGUGUAGCGGUGAAAUGCGUAGAUAUCGGGAGGAACAUCAGUGGCGAAGGCGGCUGCCUGGCCCAAUACUGACACUCAGGUGCGACAGCGUGGGGAGCAAACAGG